rnacentral:piRNA from 1 species
UGACACAGAACUGGCCAUUCCUGAGAC